UACGAAGGGGGCGAGCGUUGUUCGGAUUUACUGGGCGUAAAGGGCGCGCAGGCGGCUUAUUUUGUCAGGCGUGAAAGCCCCGGGCUUAACCUGGGAACUGCGUUUGAUACGGAUGGGCUAGAGUUCGGGAGAGGAGAGUGGAAUUCCCAGUGUAGAGGUGAAAUUCGUAGAUAUUGGGAAGAACACCGGUGGCGAAGGCGGCUCUCUGGACCGAUACUGACGCUGAGGCGCGAAAAGCGUGGGGGAGCAAACAGG
rnacentral:rRNA from 1 species